CAGCCGCCGCGGGAAUACGUAGGGUGCAAGCGUUAAUCGGAAUUACUGGGCGUAAAGCGUGCGCAGGCGGUUAUAUAAGACAGAUGUGAAAUCCCCGGGCUCAACCUGGGAACUGCAUUUGUGACUGUAUAGCUAGAGUACGGCAGAGGGGGAUGGAAUUCCGCGUGUAGCAGUGAAAUGCGUAGAUAUGCGGAGGAACACCGAUGGCGAAGGCAAUCCCCUGGGCCUGUACUGACGCUCAUGCACGAAAGCGUGGGGAGCAAACAGGAUUAGAUACCCCAGUAGUCCCUGUCUCUUAUAC
rnacentral:rRNA from 1 species